UUCAACAACCCUAAUCUAGCUAUCGCUUGAGAUUAGGGAUUGCCAGAGACAGGACUGGCAACGCAAGCGUUGAAUAGACCACGCUCGCCGUUAACUGAUACGCACUUCCGAAUACUUCCCCAGUUCGGAUCAACUGCA
rnacentral:sRNA from 21 species